rnacentral:lncRNA from 10 species
CUGGAGGGCAGCUGCCGGCCACAAGUUGGGGAGGAGGAGAGACGCAAGGCCGUCAGAUGCUUGUCCUGGAAACCAACCAUGAGCUGUGAUGAAAUCCAGGCAACUGAGUUGUGUUUCAGCCCAAAGCAGCAAAUGGAAUCCAGCUUCAGGACCAUCAUCUGACAUAGGGGAAGAAGACUUACAUAGAAGGCCUAACCAGCACCCAAGAUCAUGGCUGGUGUCAGAGAAGGCUGAAUUGGGUACCAAGACAUUCCUUCUCUCCAGGUGGUAACAAGGACCCUCACAUGGUAUUAAUGAAGACCAAAUGUUUGAAUUUCUGCUUGACUUCUUCAAUUGUGAAAUCUGGAUCUAUGCAGGCUAGCCCUGUUUACUGCUGCUUACUCUAGGAAAUAGAAAUUGUCAGUGAACUUGGAACCAUUGUUUACCUGUAAAGUUUGUGUUGGUUUUCAAAUAUCAGUCCUGAAAUAAUAGUCUCUUUUCCUCCAUUCAUGUUUCUCAGAAAGACUUUAUUCAUUACCACAUAGUUCACAUGAACCCUACAGGCUUGAUAAUUUCUU